GAUCAUGGCUCAGGAUGAAUGCUGGCGGCGUGCCUAAUACAUGCAAGUCGAGCGGUAAGGCCCUUCGGGGUACACGAGCGGCGGACGGCUGAGUAACGCGUGGGAACAUGCCCCAAAGUGAGGGAUAACGCACCGAAAGGUGUGCUAAUACCGCAUAUGGUCUUCGGAUUAAAGGAUUUAUCCGCUUUGGGAGUGGCCCGCGUACGAUUAGAUUGUUGGUGAGGUAACGGCUCACCAAGUCGACGAUCGUUAACUGGUCUGAGAGGAUGAUCAGUCAGACUGGAACUGAGACACGGUCCAGACUCCUACGGGAGGCAGCAGUAAGGAAUCUUCCACAAUGGGCGAAAGCCUGAUGGAGCAACGCCGCGUGCAGGAUGAAGGCCCUCGGGUCGUAAACUGCUUUUAUGAGUGAAGAAUAUGACGGUAACUCAUGAAUAAGCACCGGCUAACUACGUG
rnacentral:rRNA from 1 species